CGCCUCAGCCGGCUCCUCGCCCGCCCGGCCCGCCGCUGCCCCUCACCGUGUAGUAGGAGAGAAGCCCGGCGUUGUAGUCCAGCACGAACCAGCGGUACUGCCAGCCCUUCAUGACAUUGGUCCAUUUGCUCAGCGGGCCCUCCAUGAUAGACGCCAUCUUAGGCACGGAACCGGCACCGCCACACGCACCCGCCCGUUCGAAAAAUCUCCCUGGUUUCUUUUUGUGAAAGAAUCAGUCCAAGGCAGAGCUUGUAUGCAUGAUUUUACAAAAUAAUAAAUAUGUCCUAUUUCUAAUUUA